GGGGUUGUAGCUCAGUGGUGGAGUACUUGCUUUACACGCUUGAGACUCUGCGUUCAAUCCUCAGAACCACA
rnacentral:tRNA from 1 species